rnacentral:misc_RNA from 1 species
UACGGGCGGAGCGAGCGUUGUUCGGAAUUAUUGGGUGUAAAGGGUGCGCAGGCGGUCGAUUAAGUCGGGAGUGAAAUGUCCACAGCUCAACUGGGAACCUGCUUCCGAUACUGGUCGACUUGAGCACGGGAGGGGAGCGUGGAAUUCCUGGUGUAGCGGUGAAAUGCGUAGAUAUCAGGAGGAACACCUGUGGCGAAGGCGACGCUCUGGCCCGUAACUGACGCUCAUGCACGAAAGCCAGGGGAGCGAACGGG